CUUAACCGCGGUACUGUCGCUGAGCGGCAUUACCGUUUGUACUGAACCUUUACCAAAUGUCUUGCUACCAAGAAUGACGGCACGAUGAUGAUCUUGUAAUGCGCCAGCGACGAUUUCUGACGCUGAAGCUGAACCACCGUUUACCAAGACAACUAAUGGCGCACCUUUUAAGAUGUCAUUUGGUUUGGCAUUAAAUUCUUGCGCGGCAUCUUUAAUGCGACCUUCGGUAUAAACAAUUUUUCCUUUGGUGAUAAAGGCAUCAGAAACAUCUAUAGCCGCAUCUAAUAGACCACCUGGAUUGUUACGUAA
rnacentral:ncRNA from 1 species